UACGUAGGGGGCUAGCGUUGUCCGGAAUCAUUGGGCGUAAAGCGCGUGUAGGCGGUCCGGUAAGUCCGCUGUGAAAGUCGAGGGCUCAACCCUCGAAUGCCGGUGGAUACUGUCGGGCUUGAGUACGGGAGAGGCGAGUGGAAUUCCUGGUGUAGCGGUGAAAUGCGCAGAUAUCAGGAGGAACACCGAUGGCGAAGGCAGUCUCUGGGCCAUAACUGACGCUGAGAAGCGAAAGCAUGGGGAGCGAACAGG
rnacentral:rRNA from 1 species